UAAAAAUUUAAGAUUACACUAUAUUUUCAAAUGAGUACAAUACAUUAUAUAUUAGCUAUAUGAAAUUAAAUUCUGUUCAUUGUGCCCUUAUUCAUAAUUAACACGUAUUUUCUGCCUUUUUGUAACUUGUUCGUUUUAUUCUUUUGCCACCCUAUCUCAAUAAAGCUUUAAUUAUGAAAAGCAAAAACAACAACUAGAGAAACUGUCAAAUAACUUACAUGGUUGCUCUAUUCUUGCUACCAUAAUUCUGUGGUGAAUAAUUAUGCCACCAUAUUCGAUAAAAUGAAGUCCAAAUAAAUGCUUUCAUUAUUCUUAAAUUUGGACGUAGAACGAGGUGUUGUAACAAUUAGUGAAAAAAGGAACUCUUUUUUAUCGAAAAAGUAUUAAAAGCUUUCAAAUAAUCAGUAGUUUUUUUUUUACAACUUUUCAUUAAAUUUCGCAAAAAUCCUACAGGCCAUUUUCCGGCAGAAAGUCAGCCAUCUUGGAUGUCAAAAGAAACUCACCCCCGGGGACUACUUGACAGUUCUCCAUGAACCCCUCUCAGCUGUGGAUUGUUUACGUUUUAUUAGCUGAUAGUUUCUCUACUUCUCUAUACAAUGGUGCGCAUGUUACAAAUUUUCGAUGCGUAAACAAUGGAAAUUCCAUCGAGUGCGUACAUACAUACAUACACAUACGCGCUUCACUUUCCAUCAGAACACAAAGAACUUGUAAAUUGAAGUGCUUGAGUAAAUCAGUGUUUAUGGGAUGAUAUACAAACAAUGUACAACCGAACGCUAGCAUUAGUUUGUAUCACUUCUGGUAUUUGCUGCUGAUGCGAAUAUUCAUAAACAAAUCAGGCAUAAGCUGAUCGCUAGUGGCUAGAUUCUCUAUCGCCAUUUGAAGACAAACGGUACUCUUCGUGUAUAUGAACCGAAGUGACAGACAGAGUAACGUAUCAGUACUUAACCCUGCUUAGAUAACGUACAUACGUCUGCGAGACGUACACUUGUUUUAUUUUUCGUUCUCUCUUUCGCAACCGUUAAAAGGGAAUAUUCUCGCUUUCAGUUUUCUCAGUCGUUAACUGCAGCUUGUGAGAGUUUUUCAGUGAUAAGUGUUUUCUCUGAUGAAAUAUUACAAGUUUGUUUUCUGAAGGUCCAGACCCAAUGCUGGCUGGCUUUACUUGCUUUCGUUGACUUUGCGUACUUUGAAUGCUUAUAUCACCAAAUGAGCGCUUUGAACGCUUUCAAAAUAAUGUCACAAUCACUGUUGCCACACACGUAAACUUGCUAAUAUUUCCAUGUUAAAUGUUAUAUUAUUAUAAACUCUUUGUAAAUUUCUAUAUACAUAUAUCAAAUAUUUUAAAUAUUCGAAAUUUUAACUAUUUUUACUGGCAAACCAUAUGUGAUAAAUAUUUGUGUGCCAAUGUAGCAUCAAAAAAUUUACUGAAAUUGGUACAUUUCACCCAAACUGGUAACCCUAGUUACAAUAUCAAAUGUCAAAUGCGCCAGUAGCGCUGGCAAAUAGAGCAUAGAUCUAUUCGUAAGUUCAAGCGCUUGAAGCAAAGCUCCAUUUGGUCUCUUUGCAUAUGCUCUAGUAUAGUUCUAUUCAGUUUUGACAGUUCUCACAGCAAAGCAAGUAAAGCCAGCCAGCAUUGGGUCUGGACCUUGAGUUAAUAAACAUGAAGAAUUAAAGUGUGGAUGAGACAAAAGUUGCUGCUCUUUUUGCAGGAUAUUUUGGAUGGCUCAAAUUCAUCGGAAAAUGGAAGCGAAUCAGAAAAUGAAUUGCUGGAGGAUAAUGUACAAAGCGACGUGGAAAACAAGUUUAUUAAUUGUAAAUCCUCUCAAGAAUUACCGCAACCCUCUGCACACUUUAAUUCACCUUCCGAUUAUCACAUUAUUACGCUACCCCAACCGACCCUUAAAAGUAAAAGUAAGCAUUGUUCGAGAAAAACCAACAGGUGGCCUAUGGAAAUAUUUUACGGAAUACUAAACAUGGAAUUCAUAAACUCUUAUGUUAUUUAUUGUCAUAAUUCGAUUUCCAAAAGUCAAAAGACAUUGAGUUGUAAAGAGUAUAUGAAGUCACUUUCAUGGUCAGCAUACCUCAAAAAAGAAAAGGUACAGUGGCUUUUGCCCGUCCAAAAUCCGACGUAUGUAUGUCAAAAAUGACAUGCGUAAAAUAUGACACACCCGUGUGUGGGGAACACAAUAAUUUAGUAUGUAAUUCUUGCAUAUAAUAUUAAUAUUAUGUCAAAACUUAUUUUUUUUUUGCAUUAUAUAAAUGAACACUGAUAUUGUUAUCUAAUUUAACCAAAACAAAAAAAGAAUUUUUUAAGUUUUAUGUUAUGAACUGGCGUCCUUUUAAAAAUACUAAUUUUGAUACUCUCGCAACCUGUUGCACAGAGUAUAAUAGUUUUGUUCACAUAACGGUUGUUUGUGUCUCCAAGAAAUAUAAGAGUUAGAUAUGGGGUUAUUUAUACAUAAAUGAUCAGGAUGACGAGUAGAUUUGAAAUCCGGAUGUCUGUCCGUCCGUCCGUCUGUCCGUGCAAGCGAUAACUUGAGUAAAAAUUAAGAUAUCUUAAUGAAACUUGGAACACAUGUUCCUUGGCACCCUGAGGAGGUUGCUUUCGAAAAUGGGCAAAAUCGGUCCACUGCCACGCCCACAAAAUGGUGGAAACCGAAAACCUAUACAGUGUCAUAACUAAACCAUAAAUAAAGUUACGAAAAUGAAAUUUGGAACAUAGGAUCCCAUUCGGGAGGGGCACAUUUGGAUGUAAUUUUUUUGGAAAAGUAGGCGUGACCCCGCCCCCAAAUAGGUUUUUUGUAUAUAUUUGCAACCCAAUUAAUCUAUAUAAACCAAACUUUCUGCAGUCGUUUCUUUUAGCAGUUUCCUUAUACAGUCCAAAAAUUAAAGAAAUGGGAUAAUAACCACGCCCACCUCCCAUACAAAGGUUAGGUUGAAAAUUACUAAAAGUGAGUUAACUCACUAACGAAAAACGUCAGAAACACCAAAUUUUACAUGAGAAAUGGCAGAAGCUGCACUGAGAUUUUUUUACAAAAUGGAAAAAGGGCGUGGCGUCACCCACUUAUGGGUCAAAAACCAUAUAUCAAGAACUAUUCGACCGAUUUUAAUGAAAUUCGGUAUAUAACACUUUCUUGACACCCUGAUGGCACGGGUGGAAUAUGGGCGAAAUCGGUUCACAACUACGUCUACUUCCCAUAUAACUCAAUUUUGAAUUCCAUCUGAUUCGUUCACUUUAUAAUGUAUUCAUAAGAAACCAAUGAAGCUAGCGGAAUAAAACUUUACACAAAUACUGUAUUUGAGCUGUGACAUCACUUGUGGAAAAAUUGUCAAAAUUGGACCAUGACUUUUCAAGGCCCCUAAUAUCGAACAUGAACUCAGUGCCUAAGGUUAAUUUUUCACCGAAAAUAUAGGUAAAUCCCUCAGAUAUUUUAAUGUAAUUCAUUCCCUCUGCAUUUUUUUCUUAUAACGGUUUCUCUCUGUACCUGAAAUGGUAAAAAUCGGGUUAUAUCUUCUCCCAGAUCCCAUAUACCUAAUUAUAAGUAAUAUUAAAUUAAGUGAGCGUAAAGUCUUCGAUAUAUUGUAUCUUGGUGGUGAAAAAGAGUGAAAUCGGUUUAGGAAUUAAAUCAGUCCCCAUAUACUAUUUAUGAUGAUUUUCGUUAUUCUAUUGAAUUUUAUGCAGAAUAUAUGGGUCGACUUGUGUUAUCUUUAUAAAAUUACAUCAAUAAAUUGCGAGAGUAUAAAAUGUUCGGUUACACCCGAACUUAGCCCUUCCUUACUUGUUUGUAAUGAAUUUUUAAUACAAGUGAAAUUUCCUUUCGAUUUCUUAAAUAAAUAAUAAUUUUCUUGAAACAAAUAUCCAAAAUUAAAGUAUAAUAAUUAAAUAAAAGAUCUACGUAAAAAAAUAUCUGCAAAAGUGUUUCCAUUGACAUCCUUAAAGGACGAAAACUUGAAUACGUCUCUCAGACAUACGUUGUCUUUUCAGUACUUAAAAAUAACGUUAUCUAAGCAGGGUUAAGUAUACACAAACAUUUAUUACUCGUUGCAGUUCUCUGGUGCGUACCAUAUUGUAUUUAGGUUUUUGAUGAUGUUUGCCUUCAACCCUGCUAUAGCAGGUACAUCUGCCAUUUGAAGCUCGCAUAGAUGCCGCAUUUUGUUAAUAGAUGGCACGACGAAACAUAAGGAAGGUGAACUGCAAAGUUGUAGUUUCUUGAAAAUUACUUCAAAAUUGUUGCAUAGUUCCACAAUUUGUUGCAAUGUUGAUAUAAGUAUCUAUCAGCAUCAAUCGUUGGCUUUCUUGCUUCUCUUUGAAAAUUUCGUUGAUGUCAAACCAAUUGUCUACUAUAGACUUAAACAUUGAGAAGUUUGAGUUCCAGCGUGUCGGGCAAUAAUUUUUUAAUGUAGUUUGUAAUAGAUUUUGUAAAUUUGUUUUUUUUUAACUUAACAAUUUUUUUGCACUUUUCAACAAGCUCGGUUGCCUCCAUUGAAUCAUUAAAUGAACGUUCCAAAACGUUAGCAAGCAAAUGGCUGCUGCAAUUUAAUCUUGUGUUAUUCUCUAAAGCUAUCAAAAUAUUAGCACUUCUGUCUGUCACAAACUUAUGCCGGUAUUCUGCUUGUCACAUUUGUCUCAUGUCUUUAUUUGUCACAAUUGCGAACUGGCGACCCUGUUAGUCAGGAAGUAUCAUUUUGGUAUUCUGGCUGAUACAGUCUCAAAAAAGUUCACCAAAUAGUGUGGUGAAAAGAAAAGCAAGCUAUCAGCUGUUUAUUUUAGUUGAUUAGAGAUGAGUGCAUGUUCACAAUGAUACUUUAUGAAUUGAUUGCACGCAAUUAGUUUUUUUUUUACCAAAUUUCAGCAGAAAAAUUUCUUGUAAAUAAUUGGAUAAUACUAUUAAUGAAAAUAAUACUGAAAUAGUUUAUAAUAAAUGCGUAAUAUAUGCAUUUUAUCUGAAUCAAUUGUUAAGUAAAUAUGAAAAAUGUUAACAACCUAACAAUCGACUAACACAUGUUCUCAUCCUUACAUUUGAGCAUAAUGGCAAUCGAAGAUUUUGGAUAUAUAUAUACAUACAUAUUUGUGUUUUGGAAAUCGAAAGAAUUUCCUAAACGUAUUUUCUUCAUAUAAAAAGUGAUCUUCCUUGUUGCGCAAAAUAGCCAGAUUGCGCCUACGAGUGUAGCUAAAACAUAGGCCAAUUGCAUCAACCAUUAUUGUGCUCUUGUUUUUCUGUGACCUGGUUUAAAGCACAUCACAAAUUAGAGACUGAUAUUGCUCAAAUAGAGAUGAGACAAACUCGCCAGAAUACCAAAAAGUCACUAUAGAGAUUACAC